rnacentral:misc_RNA from 1 species
CGUUCGAGUCGUUUUCUACACUCCAGACUACCAACCGCCACCGUUACACUCCUUUAUCGUUCAAUCAUUUACGCUUUUUUUUCCCUUUAGCACGUGCACGUAUACCUACCCAUCCACACAUAAGCAACCGCCUGUGCACGUUCUGCUGGGGCCCAGCCCCCUUCCUGGCUGCUCUCCGCUCUGCCACCCGUAUAUCUGCUGCCUGUUUCUUCCUCCCUGCCACUUCCGCUCUUUGAGCGACACGGUACCCCCUUUGCUACUCCUCCCCUGAGCAGAAAACGGUGCGAUAACAGCACGAGCGACUAUGGCCUCGUGCACCGUUGUCGCGUUGUGGCGUUUUAUCAUCUUCUUUCGACUGCAUGACUAUGUCCUGUGCCUGAUCUGCGGCCUCGUUGCGCUUGGCAUGAGCAAGGUGCACCCUCACUGCCGGCCGUUUUCGUGGACUGAUCCAAGUAUCAACUUUCCGUACGCUGGUGCCGGUACGUUCCCAUCAUGGACGCUGCCCAUCAUCUCCAUCUUGCCAGUCGUCGUCUACAUCCUGGGUGAGGCGGCGCGCCAUUUGUGGCUGGGCCGCCGGCGCGGCGCCAUCAUGGCCCGCGAACCGUGCAAUCAGCAAAAAUGGCUUACGAUGCAAGGUCAGCGUGAUGGUGGUGGUGGCGCAGCGCAAAAUGCUGGUGAGGGGCAGAGCUGCUGCGACUCCGCGUCACCCCUGACAUUCCCUUCACAGUCGGUGCAGUCUGCACUGCCUGCGGGCAGACAAGGAGAAAUCGAGGUUCUGGUGAACAGUGCGCCGUUGUCCGCUAAUGUGGAGACGCGGGAGGCGCAGGUCGGCUCGUCGACGGUGACCACUGCACUUUCGAAUUGCCAACCGGGGUCAUUGAGAACUCCUCUCGCCAACACCCACGAUGAGCACACCGGCAACCGUGAAUCCACCUCAGUAGCUGACGCUUCGCCUUCUCGUGCAACAGCCAGUGCGCCCCGCAAGCAGAAGGCGCACACUUACGCUCUUGCACAUCCGUGGCAGCGUUUUCUCUUCCACGCACACAUUUGGUUUCUGACACAGGCUUUCUCAGUGGCCUUUGCCUUGUUGGUGGUGAAUGCGAUAAAAGUCUACGCCGGUCGACUGCGGCCCGACUUCCUUUCCCGCCUCCGCAAUGAGGGCUACAGUCCCCAGAGCACCGGCGUCGACUUGUGCACGGUGCCCAAAGACGGGCGUGUCUCUUUUCCAUCCGGGCACAGCAGCAUCAGCUUUUCCGCUAUCGUUCCGUUUUGCUUUUACGUGCUGCACUCGCUGCAGGCGUUCCGCCGCAGUGGCGUCUCGCUUUGGCGCAUCUUCAUGGGUCUUCUUCCGCUUACGCUCCCUAUCGUCGUGGCGGUCUCACGAACUCGUGAUAACCGUCACUACUUCGACGACAUUCUCGCCGGCAGCGCGAUCGGCAUCGUCAGCGCCGUGAUAGCUGUGAGUGCUAUAAUGGUCGCGGAUGCCCGCACGGGACACCUGGUGCCUCGGAUUUGGUACCGUCCGUGCUCCAGCGCACGUAUGCACACUCGUGGGUAGCAGGGACAAGACCGAUGAUGCCGUAUACCAAACUUUCGUGCUUAUAUAUUUACUGUUCCUAUUUUUGUACCAAUUCGCACAGGCGUGCCUGCGUGAGCAAUAAACCAGUGAAAUAGAGCCGGCGAUCCAUCGCAGUGAUGCGAAUCCGCCCGAGGGGGGGGGGCACGGCGUUAGAUGGCCGCGGGGCCAACCCAGGCGGCUUUUUCUUUCCUUUGCGGUGAAGUCGCGCCAUACUCCGUCACACUUCACUACCGCGUCGCCGAUGGGCUGCAGAGAGAGCGUGUGUGUGCGUGUGUGUGCGUGUGUGUGUCUGGAGAAGCGCUCUCACCCUCCGCAUCGUUGCCUCUUCAUGAAAGCCAAAGGGUCGAAAAGGCGUAGGGUGUGAGGCUCACAUGUCCAUGCACUGCAUGAAGUCCGGAUGCUGCACGCAUUGGUGCUUGGUCUCUCCCCCACGCGUACUUGCGCGCAUCUCUAUGUUUUUGUUUUCUGAGAGGCCCCCUUCGCACGCGAGCAG